rnacentral:rRNA from 1 species
AGGACGAACGCUGGCGGCGUGCCUAAUACAUGCAAGUCGAACGGUCUUUCUAUGGAAGCUUGCUUCCACUGAGAAGAUAGUGGCGAACGGGUGAGUAACACGUGGGUAACCUGCCCAUAAGAGGGGGGAUAACAUCCGGAAACGGGUGCUAAUACCGCAUAGUUUUCUUGAUCGCAUGAUCGGGAAAGGAAAGACGGCCUUCGUGCUGUCGCUUAUGGAUGGACCCGCGGCGUAUUAGUUAGUUGGUGAGGUAAUGGCUCACCAAGACGAUGAUACGUAGCCGACCUGAGAGGGUGAUCGGCCACAUUGGGACUGAGACACGGCCCAAACUCCUACGGGAGGCAGCAGUAGGGAAUCUUCCGCAAUGGACGAAAGUCUGACGGAGCAACGCCGCGUGAGUGAAAGAAGGUUUUCGGAUCGUAAAACUCUGUUGUCAGAGAAGAACAAGUUGGAGAGUAACUGCUCCAGCCUUGACGGUAUCUGACCAGAAAGCCACGGCUAACUACGUGCCAGCCGCCGC